GGGGAACUGAUCUUUUGGCCCCCAACCAAUUCCGUAACCAAAGUUCUCAAGUAUUUGAAGGGUUCACCUGUUCCUGCCCUCGAGGGAAUGUCGAAAAGGCUAGGGAUGAGCUCAUUCACCUUCAGCUCACUCUAUUGUUUUGGCCAUUGUGCACGUAUAUGGCCAAGAUGAAAAGACCCACGCAGCAAAUGUAUCUUAGUAAUGAACAAAUUUCAUGGUGUGUCUAUUUUCUGUGUGUUUUGUGCUAUGCUUUCUCAGCGUUAGUCAUCCUCCAUCUCUCCCUCCACGUUCUCACUUUCCUGUAAUUUUAGAGAUGGAACCUCGACCUGUGCAUUUGAAUUCAGAGAUUUCAG
rnacentral:misc_RNA from 1 species